rnacentral:rRNA from 1 species
UUAGGUGGCGUGCAGGCGAUAAAGUCGAGCGGAUGACGGGAGCUUGCUCCUUGAUUCAGCGGCGGACGGGUGAGUAAUGCCUAGGAAUCUGCCUGGUAGUGGGGGACAACGUUUCGAAAGGAACGCUAAUACCGCAUACGUCCUACGGGAGAAAGCAGGGGACCUUCGGGCCUUGCGCUAUCAGAUGAGCCUAGGUCGGAUUAGCUAGUUGGUGGGGUAAUGGCUCACCAAGGCGACGAUCCGUAACUGGUCUGAGAGGAUGAUCAGUCACACUGGAACUGAGACACGGUCCAGACUCCUACGGGAGGCAGCAGUGGGGAAUAUUGGACAAUGGGCGAAAGCCUGAUCCAGCCAUGCCGCGUGUGUGAAGAAGGUCUUCGGAUUGUAAAGCACUUUAAGUUGGGAGGAAGGGCAGUAAGUUAAUACCUUGCUGUUUUGACGUUACCGACAGAAUAAGCACCGGCUAACUCUGUGCCAGCAGCCGCGGUAAUACAGAGGGUGCAAGCGUUAAUCGGAAUUACUGGGCGUAAAGCGCGCGUAGGUGGUUCGUUAAGUUGGAUGUGAAAGCCCCGGGCUCAAUCUGGGAAACUGCAUCCCAAACUGGCGAGCUAGAUUAUGGUAGAGGGUGGUGGAAUUUCCUGUGUAACCGGGAAAUGCCUAGAUAAUAGAAGGGAACCCCCAGUGGCGAACGCGAACCCCUGCACGGCAUCUGUCCCUGAUAGUUGCGAAAACCUGGGGCAGCCAAACA